ensembl:ncRNA T22B7.17 ncRNA
CGCGAAAAGUGCUGAACUGGCACGGCGUUUCACCGAUUGGUCUAUGAUGAUUUCGCAAGAGUUGAACAUGAAAAGGAAGCCUAAGUUCCGAGUUUUUCUACAGUGAGCCCCCCUCCC